rnacentral:rRNA from 1 species
UACAGAGGGUGCGAGCGUUGUCCGGAAUCACUGGGCGUAAAGGGCGCGUAGGCGGCCCGAUAAGUAGGGGGUGAAAUCUUGCGGCUCAACCGCAAGGCUGCCUUCUAAACUGUCGGGCUGGAGCACGGUAGAGGCAGAUGGAAUUCCCGGUGUAGCGGUGGAAUGCGUAGAGAUGGGGGAGAACACUUGUGGCGAAGGCGGCCAGCUGGACCAGUUCUGACGCUGAGGCGCGAAAGCGUGGGGAGCAAACAGG